CGAUAAGUUUGUUCCCUCGCGCAAUCGUCCAGUUUUAAAACCGAAGUGGUUCAGCACACUACCGACCGGCCGGAUUAAGUAAAUCGGAUUUAAUUAAGUUAUUGCACGGGACUAAAAUAAUCAUAAAAUAACUUUCGUGUCGCCUGUGAUCUGAAAUGAAACGGCUAUAUAUGUAUACAAGGUGACGGCCGAAGAAUUGAUGGAGCCGACGCAGAGAAAUCGGAAGAACUUUUGCAGACUUCGCUAAAACGCUAAAUUCGUCUGAAACAUUGUCACGAACCACCAACACUAUCAUACGGAAAAAUUGAUAUGGAAAACUAAAACAGCUCGUGAAAAGAACAUGAUGACAACUGCAAAACAAGGAUAAGACUGCGAAAUAUCGGAAAACCAAGAGGAAGGUGCGCGUAUGCGGUUACGAGCGUGAGAAAUAUGAAAUUUCACGGCGUUGCCGUCGAGAAGGGGUCACGUCCAUCCGAAAGGUGGCUUCUCUCGCGAAACCACUUCUUAUAAUCUCACUGGAAAUUCACCGGCAUAUCUGUCGCGCAAUUCUCUUCUGAUAAUAGAGAAAGUAGCAGCACGAACGAUAAACAUGAACACGAUAUGCGAAAUAAUGAAGGAAAAGUGCAUAUUCUGCGGAGAAUUAUCCCGUCUCUCAAAUAAAUGAAAUGUCAAAAAAUUAAUUAGUUCUGUAUAUUUCAUUAAAACUACAUAAGUUCAUUUCUGAAAAUUUCCGAUAUUUUUUAGGAAAGAAAACUUAUCAUGAAUGAUAAUAAUGACCAUAAUAAUAAUAACAGAAAUAAAUAGUUGUUUGAUUAAUAGCUACAAUAAUACCAAAUACCCUUGAGAACGCUAUCCAUACUUGCAGUUAAUACAAUCUUGUGUUAUCGUUGUUGCUCUGGAAUCGAUACUACGCAUUGUGAAAUAAUUCAUGAUAUA